UCCCUUAUAGCUCAGUCGGUAAAGAAUCUGCCUGCAAUGCAGGAGACCCAGGAUCGAUUCCUGGGUUGGGAA
rnacentral:tRNA from 1 species